rnacentral:pre_miRNA from 1 species
AGAGCAAUAGCUGGGUCAAAUGAUGGUUCCAUCCCCAGCUUUCCCAAGGAAUCUCCAUACUGCUUUCCAAAUUGGCCUCACCAAUUUGCAGUCCCACCAGCAAU